rnacentral:rRNA from 1 species
AUUGAACGCUGGCGGCAUGCUUUACACAUGCAAGUCGAACGGUAACAGGUUAAGCUGACGAGUGGCGAACGGGUGAGUAAUGCAUCGGAACGUGCCCGGUCGUGGGGGAUAACGCAGCGAAAGCUGCGCCAAUACCGCAUACGAUCUGAGGAUGAAAGCGGGGGACCGUAAGGCCUCGCGCGAUCGGAGCGGCCGAUGUCAGAUUAGGUAGUUGGUGGGGUAAAGGCUCACCAAGCCAACGAUCUGUAGCUGGUCAGAGAGGACGACCGGCCACACUGGGACUGAGACACGGCCCAGACUCCUACGGGAGGCAGCAGUGGGGAAUUUUGGACAAUGGGCGAAAGCCUGAUCCAGCAAUGCCGCGUGCAGGAAGAAGGCCUUCGGGUUGUAAACUGCUUUUGUACGGAGCGAAAAGGUCUCCUCUAAUACAGGGGGCUCAUGACGGUACCGUAAGAAUAAGCACCGGCUAACUACGUGCCAGCCGCCGCAGUAA